rnacentral:rRNA from 1 species
GCCUCGUGAAUUCAUCUCCGGGGGUAGAGCACUGUUUCGGCUAGGGGGCCAUCCCGGCUUACCAACCCGAUGCAAACUGCGAAUACCGGAGAAUGUUAUCACGGGAGACACACGGCGGGUGCUAACGUCCGUCGUGAAGAGGGAAACAACCCAGACCGCCAGCUAAGGUCCCAAAGUCAUGGUUAAGUGGGAAACGAUGUGGGAAGGCCCAGACAGCCAGGAUGUUGGCUUAGAAGCAGCCAUCAUUUAAAGAAAGCGUAAUAGCUCACUGGUCGAGUCGGCCUGCGCGGAAGAUGUAACGGGGCUAAACCAUGCACCGAAGCUGCGGCAGCGACACUGUGUGUUGUUGGGUAGGGGAGCGUUCUGUAAGCCUGUGAAGGUGUGUCGUGAGGC